CAGAUCUCGGCCCUGGGGACUGACACCACACCCAUCCGUGUGUGUGUUUGUGUGUUUUUCAGUGUGUUUUGAAUUGUGUGUGUUGUCCAGCGUACACUCUGUCGGCGUAAGAAGAGCUGCCUGCUGACUCUCAGAAACUGGUGACUUCAGCAUGAACACUCACGCAACGGUGCCCCCUUUGUCAGGAACAAGCCCCUCUCCUUUUUCAGACCUUGUGACCAAGAUAGGACCCAAGGAAACCUAUGACACUGGAGAUUUUGCCGCUUUGAUUGGUGGAAUCGUAAGUGUAGUGCUGUUGUUAAUGAUCUGCGUCAUCGGCGUGCUUUUGUGGUGCUUGUCCAGACAUAAGGGCGAAUACGUGACCAACGAGCAGGAGGACAAAGACGAGGACGCCGACAGCGGCGACGGCGACUCCGUUGGCUCUGAUGAAGCGCUUCAAUCUGAGGAACCUUUGAAAGCCAAAGAGGAGGAAUAAAGGGGGGAAAAUGGAAAAUAGCGACAAAAGUGUCACUCAAGUUGCAGACUUGAGAGCUUUGUAGCUUUGUUGCACGCAUAAAACAACAAAGAUGUGAGAAGGGAAGUUUAACAUUUUUAGAAGUAGCCGAUUUUAAAAAUUGCACUGAGCAACUUUGCACUUUGGCACCACUAAAUGUGAGCAAAGCACAACUGUCUGAAAUGUGAGCCCUUCUCAGGAAUGUGAACAACCAAAAGAAACUAAGAUGUGGUUUGUGUUCGGUAGACCUGUGUUUACAUUGUUCCCUCGUUAAAAGCUCCACUUUAAUGCAGCGACGUUGCAUAAAUUACAAGCAGGCAUUUUCAUGCUAUGACUGACUGUGGUAUCCUGAAUUUAUGGUGGCCCCAAGGUGCCAAACAGAAAAAUAAAGCAGAAAACACAAAACAUAAAGUAAUGAAAGAAAAAACAAGAUGAGCUCAACUACAAUAAAAAAGGAGAGCAAAGAUGAAACAGAAAGAACAGAAAAAACUGCAAAAAGAACAAAAACAGUUUUAAAAGCAGCCGAAAACAUAAACUAAAAAAACUGAAAAGUUAUUCAAAAGCAAUAAAUUUUUUCUAAAAUAUUGUUUUUCCAUUUUUUUAUGUUGUUUUCCAGAAUAUCAUUUGUUUUUUCAAGGUUUCAUAUGAGUAUAUGUUUUGUUGACGAUGUUUUAUAUAUUACCUAUAAUAUAUCUUUUAAGGCCCUAACAAAAAGAGUCACACACUCUGAUGUUUUGUUGCUCUACCUUUAGCUUUGAUGCAGGCAUGCAAUCGCUGUGGCAUCAUUUUUGAUAAGCUUGUGCAUUGCUACACUUAUUUCCCUCCAGAUUUGCCUUCAUUUCUCUCCAUGACCGUGUAUUGAUCGUGAGUGCGCUCACAUGGCUGCAUAAAGGGUUCAACACAUCUCAAAGAUGGGGUUAAGGUCUGGACUCUGUUGUGACCAAUACAUGUGUGAAAAUGAUGUCUCAUGCUCUUUGAACCACUCUUUCACUAUUUGAACCCAAUGAAUGUUGCCAUUGUCAUCUGGGAAGAUGCCUGCGCCAUCAGGGCAGGCAGAACCUGGUCAUUCAGCACAUUCAGGCAGUCAGCUGGCCUCACCGUUUGAGCAUAAAUCAUUGAUAAACGUAGACCUGACCGACUGAACCAACCUCACAUCAUAAGACUCCCCUCACAGGUCUCUACUGUUGGCACUAGGCAUGCUACUUAAUCCCACUGAUGAUUAAUAUAACCUCAAAAUGUAAUUUUUAAAGGACAUUUGUGACAAUGAUAUUUGUGUCUGAAUAACAUUUGAUCUCAGACAGCAGCAUUUAUGAGUGCAAGCAAAACAAAGGGCAUUUUCCUUCUUUUCCAUUGAGCUACUGUUACUGAUGGUUGAUUAGCUAAUGUGCCAGCACCAAGCUGCAGUUGCAUUAUAGUCCAAUAGUAGCCUUAUAUGCUGUGCCACAACCUUAGUCAGACCUAGGUACAAAAGUAGCCCAGGCAGGGAAAUAGCUUGGAAAUAGCUUAAAUAAUUAGCUUAACAGUGCUAACAUAACUGAAGCUUGGAAAUCUUCAGGAGCUCUUCCAAUCUUAUAGAGUGGAGCUAGCGCCAGCCAUGCUAGGUUGACUUUGUUUCCUUUUGAUUGCUAGCAUCUGCUCCUCACGUGUCUUCAACCAUGUAUUUUUUGCCUCAACUUUCCUCCAUAUUUUGCAAUGUACUGUAUUUUGUUGGUGGUUGUUGAAGUAGCUUUCUUUUUUACUCAGAGGCCUCUCUCACUGUGAGACGUGCCUGUGUUGUGCCUCUAGUGUAAAUAUGGCACAGCCCUAGCACCCAUCCCUCUGGAGCAGGCUAAAUAUGCGCUCGCCAGAUAACAUGACCUUUUUCCAUUGCUCCUGAGCCCAGUCUGCUUGCUCCCUGUCCUUUUCUUUUCUCAGUUAGCUUCACUGAUCGGUGGUUUCCUUAAGGCUGUACAGCCUUUUAAUGGCAAUCCCCUGAUUUUCUCUUCACACUGCCUGUGGAAGCACGCUUAACUUUGUUAUUAAACUUUGCCAUGAGCUCUACUAUCAUCUUUUUUAAUGAUUUGAUUUCACUAAAUAUUUACGUGAUCAUUAAAGAUUUUUCUCUGGUUACAUUUCAUGAUUUUUAUCACUGUCCAGUUUUUGCAGUUUCAGAAAUGGCCUUCGAUGUUAAAAAAAAGUGUAACAUCUUCUCCGCAUCCCCUUGAUACAUCCUCCAACAUGGUUGUUUAACAAAAGAAAGAAGUUCUCACAGCAUCUGUUAGCGUUAAAUAAGCUUUUGCCAGCAGAAAUAUAUUAAUGACUGCAGUAGUAAUCCAGUGGAAAGCUCUUAAAUCCAGGCAGACUUUUCUUUCUUGGCAGAGCAGUGUACAUCUUGUGUUUUCCAUUUUCUCGCUGUGUUGUGCACCUUGGGGCCAGCAUAAAGAUUCUCUUGCAGAAACAACUCGCUGAGUCCAUGUUAUUAACAAUUCUCGUGAGUGACGCACAAAAUAAAUGGCAACACAUUUAAAUAACCUUUAUUUUAGCGUUGGUAACAUUUUGUUCCUGAGUACUGAGUCGUUUUUCUCAGUGUUUCAAGAAUUUGGCCUCAGAUCUCACAUUCUUCACGAGCUUCUUAUUUCUAAAACUUUUACAGCUGUUUUGAGUCUCUAUGUUGUCAGGCAGUUUUUGCAUCAUCCUGCCAAAGAAGCUGAGAGGUCAAAUGAGCCUAGCAGACGAAGAUAAACAUCUACAUGAGUGCUUACUGCUGGUGAUUUUCCAUUGUGGUUGUUGUCAUAUUUUAAGCUCAAAGUAAUAAACAACUAACUACAGGUUGGAGUCUGACUAACACGUGACAGUUAUGAAUCAGCAGGGAGGAAAAAAUCUGAGUAAAUUUCCAGCCCAGAGUUGUGCAUUUCUGUCUGUUUUCCCAUCAUCAAAGCUCCAGUUUUCUGCUCCAGCAAACUUUAUUGAUUUUAUCCUGUUUUAGUAAAAUCUCUUUUAUUUGCUGAUGUUUUCUAAAAGUACAUUAAUAAACUUGAUACUUUGUGA